AGUGAACGCUGGCGGUAGGCCUAACACAUGCAAGUCGAACGGCAGCACAGUAAGAGCCUGCUCUUACGGGUGGCGAGUGGCGGACGGGUGAGGAAUACAUCGGAAUCUACUUUUUCGUGGGGGAUAACGUAGGGAAACUUACGCUAAUACCGCAUACGACCUACGGGUGAAAGCAGGGGAUCUUCGGACCUUGCGCGAUUGAAUGAGCCGAUGUCGGAUUAGCUAGUUGGCGGGGUAAAGGCCCACCAAGGCGACGAUCCGUAGCUGGUCUGAGAGGAUGAUCAGCCACACUGGAACUGAGACACGGUCCAGACUCCUACGGGAGGCAGCAGUGGGGAAUAUUGGACAAUGGGCGAAAGCCUGAUCCAGCCAUACCGCGUGGGUGAAGAAGGCCUUCGGGUUGUAAAGCCCUUUUGUUGGGAAAGAAAAGCAGCAGGUUAAUACCCCGCUGUUAUGACGGUACCCAAAGAAUAAGCACCGGCUAACUUCGUG
rnacentral:rRNA from 1 species